ensembl:lncRNA
AGGUGGCUCAUUCCCACAUGUGUACUCAGUCGUGUCCGACUCUGCUACCCCAUGGACUGUAGCCCACCAGGCUCCUCUGUCUAUGGAGUUUUCCAGGUCACCAUCCACCAUCUAAUAGGCACUAUUUUAAGUUACAUCUUAACGGAACCUCAUGCCACUGAUAAAUGAGAAGUCAAAAUAGUUGGGGAAACCAUACCUACCUUCAGUUCUUGUCUUUGGAAUGGUGUUGGGAGGACCCCUUUCAAUUCCUGCGUCUAAAGGACACUCUGCUAGAAAGGUCAAACACCUUGCCCAGAGUCACAUGGAACUGGCAGAGAUCAAAUUCAGGUCCAGACAGAAGCACUUCUGAAACUUUCGAAUAUUCCAUCCAUCCACCGUGAUCUUCUGGUGAUAUUUGUUGUUUGCUGCUCUGGGGCAAAGUGACUCUUUGGGCUUCCCUGGUGGCACCAGUGGUAAAGAACCCACCUGUCAAAGCAGGAGAUGCAGGAGACACAGCUUCCAUCCCUGGAUUGGGAAGAUCUCCUGGAGUUGGAAAUGGCAACCCAUUCCAAUAUUCUUGCCUGGAAAAUUCCAUGGACAGAGAAGCCUGGUGGGGCUACAGUCUGUGGGGCCGCAAAGUUAGACACGACUGAGCACAUUGCGAUCCUUUGACCACAGUAUGAACCUAAUAAAUAU